rnacentral:rRNA from 1 species
CCCUUAGAUGUUCUGGGCCGCACGCGCGCUACACUGACGAUGGCAACGAGUUUUUCCUUCGCCGAAAGGUGUGGGUAAUCUUUUGAAACAUCGUCGUGCUGGGGAUAGAUCAUUGCAAUUUUUGAUCUUGAACGAGGAAUUCCUAGUAAGCGCGAGUCAUCAGCUCGCGUUGAUUACGUCCCUGCCCUUUGUACACACCGCCCGUCGCUACUACCGAUUGAAUGGUUUAGUGAGUACUCCUGAUUGGCGCCGCCGCCCCGGCAACGGAGCAGCGGACUGCCGAAAAGUUGUUCAAACUUGAUCAUUUAGAGGAAGUAAAAGUCGUAACA